CCUACGGGAGGCAGCAGUGAGGAAUAUUGGUCAAUGGGCGCUAGCCUGAACCAGCCAAGUAGCGUGAAGGAUGACUGCUCUAUGGGUUGUAAACUUCUUUUAUAUGGGAAUAAAGUGCAGUAUGUAUACUGCUUUGCAUGUACCUUAUGAAUAAGGAUCGGCUAACUCCGUGCCAGCAGCCGCGGUAAUACGGAGGAUCCGAGCGUUAUCCGGAUUUAUUGGGUUUAAAGGGUGCGUAGGCGGGUGGUUAAGUUAGUUGUGAAAGUCUGAGGCUCAACCGUAGAAUUGCAGUUGAUACUGGCAGGCUUGAGAACAGUAGAGGUAGGCGGAAUGCGUGGUGUAGCGGUGAAAUGCUUAGAGAUCACGAAGAACACCGAUUGCGAAGGCAGCCUGCUGGACUAUAACUGACGCUGAUGCACGAAAGUGUGGGGAUCAAACAGGAUUAGAUACCCGAGUAGUC
rnacentral:rRNA from 1 species